ACCUGGCUGGCUCAGUUGGAAGAGCAUCUGACUCUUGAUCUCAGGGUCAUGAGUUCAGAUCCCAUGUUGGGAG
rnacentral:tRNA from 1 species